UACGAAGGGGGCUAGCGUUGCUCGGAAUCACUGGGCGUAAAGCGCACGUAGGCGGAAUGCUAAGUCAGGGGUGAAAUCCUGGAGCUCAACUCCAGAACUGCCCUUGAUACUGGCGGUCUCGAGUCCGGGAGAGGUGAGUGGAACUGCGAGUGUAGAGGUGAAAUUCGUAGAUAUUCGCAAGAACACCAGUGGCGAAGGCGGCUCACUGGCCCGGUACUGACGCUGAGGUGCGAAAGCGUGGGGAGCAAACAGG
rnacentral:rRNA from 1 species